CUAAUAUAAGUAUGAAACCGAAUACGAAAAAUACAAAAUCCAAACUGAUGAAAAAAGGAUCAAGAAUUUGAAGAAAUAUUUGGGAAAAAUAGCAUCAGAAUGGUACCAAGCAAAUCUGCUGAAGGAUGAAGAAUGCAACUGGGAAAAUUGGAAGGUUCAUUCACUGAAUAUGUCAUAAAAAAGGAAUGAUUAAUAUUGGAAGUAAGGAGGAAGACUUCUGAAGAGACAUGGAUAAAUCUAAUUGUUAUUGGAUUACCCAUACACAUUCAAGAUAAAAUCGAUAAAGAAACAGUACAAUCAACAAAUGGCUUAAUCAGAUUCUUGGGGCAAUAUCAGACAAAGGGAAGAAAAACACAAGGGAGUAACACAAGAUUGGACAGAAAGCCAGAGCCACUGCCCAAGAAACAACCUUGUGUGAUUUAUGAAGCACUGAAUUUCCCAGACCGAUACCCAGUAAUGACAUCCAAAGAAAUUGAAGAGUAUACGAGGAAAAGGAACAUU